GUUAACAAAAUUAAGAAGCCCACAACAACUCAAAUUUAUUAAAAACCCAAAACUCUCGUCUCUCUCAACCCUCUCUCUCUCAUCCGCUCAAUAACAAAAACCCUUAACCUAAUUUUUUCAUUUGCCAUUUCUUGCAGUCACAAACGGAUCACCCCAUCUCCAACUUUUGGGGGAACUACUACCGCAAACCUACUCAUUGUCAGCCGCUGAUGCGUUCUGCAACAACAGCCGCUCCAUCUCUCCUCCCAAUUCAGUCGUGCAGCAACAACAAAAGCUAUCGUCGUCCAUCUAGUUCUCCAAUGGCCUAAAUGCAGCAGCUGCGACUCCAUCCAUCUUCGGCCAUCUGCCACCACACAAAAUUUUUAUGCAGGAUAAACCUAACGACGUAGUGCCGGGGGUGCUUUUCGGUUGGAUGUGGAUGUCUCUAUUCAUGCAAAUGGAAAUGUGGUUGGAGUUGGGUUUCUGGUUCGAGAUCAUACAGGUAAAGUGCUAGCGGCGGCGGCGAGAUGUAUUGGUAGAACGGAAACCAUUCUUAUGGGUGAACUGCACGCGAUCUUGUUGGGAGUGGGUUUUUGUAUGGAGUAUGAUUAUUGCCCUCUUGAGGUUUUUACGGAUUCUCUUUUAGCGGUGCACGUUGUGAGUGAGAAGACGAGGGGGAUUGACUCUCUCUGUGAUGAUCUGUACGAUGCUUUUUUAUAUGCUAAGGAGAAGAUAGUACUUGAUUUUAGACAUGUUCGUAGGGAAGCUAAUAGAGCGGCCCAUUUCUUGGCUAAUUUAGCCGUCUGUAUUCCUGAUGCAAGGAUCUGGAGAUCUGACUUCCCGUUGGGUCUUUUAGAUAUUGUUCAUCGUGAUUUGAAUUAAUAUAAGGUCCCUGGUGGUUUCCUCAAAAAAAAAAAACCUAACGACGUAGUGACAAGAAUCCGAAAGGAAUUUGAAGAGGAAUCGUAAAAGUUCAAUUACUAUUCCUUACAAAUGGAAAUGGAGAUGUUUCAAGCCUGACUUCUCAUUUUAGAGGACUAUAAUAUAAAUGAACAACGGAAGUGCAACAAGGCAAAGGAGGAGAAAGAUAAACUAAUGAUGGAUGUCACAUUGUCAGUUAUGAGAUUUAGUUUCUUGAAUAGCUAGAUUAAUUUAGGUUUUGUUAUUUGAUGUUAGAUUUUUUAAUAAUGUGUAGAUAGAUCAAUGUACGUUGAAAUAUUUAUUUUUAUAUUUUUAAUAAUGUAUUCUUUUUAUUUAUCUAAGAGAUAUACAUUGUGUUGA